rnacentral:rRNA from 1 species
CGAACGCUGGCGGCAGGCCUAACACAUGCAAGUCGAACGAACUCUUCGGAGUUAGUGGCGGACGGGUGAGUAACACGUGGGAACGUGCCUUUUGGUUCGGAAUAACUCAGGGAAACUUGUGCUAAUACCGAAUGUGCCCUUCGGGGGAAAGAUUUAUCGCCAUUAGAGCGGCCCGCGUCUGAUUAGCUAGUUGGUGAGGUAACGGCUCACCAAGGCGACGAUCAGUAGCUGGUCUGAGAGGAUGACCAGCCACACUGGGACUGAGACACGGCCCAGACUCCUACGGGAAGCAGCAGUGGGGAAUCUUGCGCAAUGGGCGAAAGCCUGACGCAGCCAUGCCGCGUGAAUGAUGAAGGUCUUAGGAUUGUAAAAUUCUUUCACCGGGGACGAUAAUGACGGUACCCGGAGAAGAAGCCCCGGCUAACUUCGUG